AUGGUUGCGGUGUGGCCAAAUCACCGCCGUCGCACGGUGGCAGGUGAUAAGGUAGUCGAGGCUGACGGAUCUGGGGCAGUAGCACCACAGGCAAAACCCAGGAGGCGCUGGUGCACAAGGAGGCACGGGAGAGAGGGGCUCAGGAGCUUGCCGGUGCCUGAACCACCGCCCGCUGGCCUCGCCGUCGCCGGAGGUGAGGUGGCGGCGGAAACCCUAGCUAGCACGGGGGACGAUGGAGGGCGGGAGCGCCGAUUCUGGACGGAGGGGAAGGAGGCGUGGAGCUUGGGGAGCUCGGGGGGAGUGCUUCCCGUCGCCGGAGCUCACCGGAAUAGGCCGGCGUGGGGUCUGGCGUCCUCUGACCUCGCCGCCAUCGGAGCAGCGCUAGAGGUGGAGGCCACCGAAACCAUAGCCACGAGGACGAGGUCCGGCGGACCCGGCUGCCGGCGAUCUAUGAGGGGAGAGGAGGAUCACAGCGGCAUGCCGAAUCUAGCCACUUUAUGCGUAGGCCUAAUGCAACCAAAGGAGGAUGAGCCAUACCACUGGGGGCAAAUGUACCUCGGCGGCAUGUCGGAUCUAGCCAUAAAAAUCCACGGAAAAUCAUACGAUGCCGGAAAUCCUCGGGACCUAGCACGGUGUCGUCAUAUGGCCCUUGUAAGGUGUGUAUGCAUCGGCCUAGUGCAACCAAAGGAGGAGCAACCCCACCACGGGGAGGGGCGAAUGUACCUUGACGAGAUGUCAGAUCUAGCCGUAAAAAUCCACGAAAAAUCAUACGAUGCCGGAAAUCCUCGAGACCUGGCACGAUGUCGUCAUAUGGCCCUUGUAAGGUGUGGCCUAGUGCAACCGAAGAAGGAGGAGCCCCACAACCAGGGGGGGCGAAUGUACCUUGGUGGCAUGCCAGAUCAAGCCAUAAAAAUCUAUGGAAAAUCAUACGAUGCCGGAAAUCCUCGGGACCCGGCACAGUGUCUUCAUAUGCCCAUUCUCCAACGAAAGCAGCUCAAAGCGGAGGUUAUGCUCGUGGCGGUGCAGAAGUCGAGCCGGCAUGAGGGUGCUCGCUCCCGAACGGUUCUCCGUGGGAUGGCGCGGGUAAAAAGGAUCGUGCGGAGGCUUUGCGUUGUAAUCGGCCACGUUCUGUUGUACGUGCUGCUGAAGAGAAUAAGAAAGGAAAACAGAAAAGACGCAAGGUUUGGUGACCAUGACGGCAGUCUGCAGUUCAAACGCUUCCAGAACGGCACCGCCUUCACCAGGCGCAGCAACAGAGGUGCAAAAUUGACACUUGGGGUGCACCGCCCGCUGUGCCCUGAGAGAGGUAUGCCCACCGUCCCACCAUUCCCAAGCGUGGACCGCAAUCUUCAAUGGUUCAGUUCAAUGCUCUUGAAAGAAGGCGGCGACGGUGGCUUGUCCUACCUGUAUGUGUUGGGUACCAAGGAUUCGGGGAAGUUCCUGGUGCGUGUGUAUGUGUUGCAAGAUGGUGUUUGGUGCCUUCAUACCGCGGCCACGUGCCAGCCCCGUCCUAUGCAUAUUGAACCAAAAGCUGUGCUCGUGAACAACAAAAUCUAUAUGCCGUCCGGCAACAGUGACGACAUUAUUGUCUUGGAUAUGACGACCUCAAGCUUCUCCACUAUUCAGCUGCCACAGGGAGUUAGAUAUAACUAUUUUCGGACCAUGUUGUCUCCAGCUGAUGAUGCUUCCGGUGUAUAUCUCGUGCAUAUCAAUGAAUUUCAAAUUUGCAUAUGGCUCUCCAAGGGGGACAAUUGGUUGCUGGUUGAUAACAUUUGUUUGAGGAUGUUAGAUCACACGCUUGAGGACGACCAUAGUGCCAAUGCGCAGAUAAUUCAGGUGGGAGACAAUGCUGAAUAUGUAUUCUUGUGGAUGACUGGAUGCACACUCUAUCUGGACGUUACGAGGAAGGCACUGCAUAAAGUGCACGAGAUGGCAAAAAAGGAUGAACAUUUCAGUGUUGUCAAGCCUUUUAUGAUGUUAUGGCCACCCAUAUUCCCUGUGCUCAAGGCUGACCCUUCAAGGUUUGCUUUUUUGGACUUUAGAUCAUUUGUAUACUGCUCUUGUCGAGACCAUGAACAAUUCCUUUUAAACAGCAAAUGGCUAGUCCACGGAAUGCCAUCUGAAGAACAAGGAUAUGUGGGAGCUUUUGGAUGGUCAGUGAACAAAGGCGCCAGCAAGGAAGAGAAGAGAGCUGCAUUUCCUUACUUGCAGUUCUAG
rnacentral:rRNA from 1 species